rnacentral:sRNA from 1 species
UUGAGGAGGAACGGGAUGAAAACAUCGAAAUUGCUGGUGCUGGCCGCAGUUGCCGCGGCUGUGGUCGCUGCCCCGCUGGUGAUGGCGCAGAGCGCCGACAAGGGCAAGACGGCUGAAACCGCCCAGAAUGCAUCGGCGGACAAGGCGCAGACCGAGGCCGAGCAGAAAGCCAAGCGCCGUGCGGCAGCUGCCGCGCAGGAAAAAACGCAGGCCAGUCAGCCGGCACCGCGUGAGGAAGAGGAAGAAGAGGAAGGCCGUCGCCGUCGCUGACGCCUGCUUUCAACGAUUCGUGGACGCCCCGGCGCAGGUUGGGGCGUCUUUUUUUUGAUCUCGCCA